rnacentral:rRNA from 1 species
UUGGAGGGCAAGUCUGGUGCCAGCAGCCGCGGUAACUCCAGCUCCAAUAGCGUAUAUUAAAGUUGUUGCAGUUAAAAAGCUCGUAGUUGAAUUUCGGAAUCCAUCCGUCGGUCGGGCCUCACGGUCCGCACUGGUGUGAUGGAUUCCUACCUUCUGAAUAACCAGCAUGCCAUUAAUUUGGUGCGUUGGGGAAGCAGGACUGUUACCUUGAAAAAAUUAGAGUGCUUAAAGCAGGCUAGUGCCUGAAUACAUUAGCAUGGAAUAAUGAAAUAGGACGGCAUGGUUCUAUUUUGCUGGUUUCUAGGAUCACCGUAAUGAUUAAUAGGGAUAGUUGGGGGCAUUAGUAUUCAAUUGUCAGAGGUGAAAUUCUUGGAUUUAUUGAAGACUAACUUCUGCGAAAGCAUUUGCCAAGGAUGUUUUCAUUAAUCAAGAACGAAAGUUAGGGGAUCGAAGACGAUCAGAUACCGUCGUAGUCUUAACCAUAAACUAUGCCGACUAGGGAUCGGACGAUGUUAAUUUUUUAAUGACUCGUUCGGCGCCUUACGGGAAAC